rnacentral:rRNA from 1 species
CGGACGGGUGAGUAACGCGUGGGUAACCUACCCUGUACACACGGAUAACAUACCGAAAGGUAUGCUAAUGCGGGAUAAUAUAUUUGAGAGGCAUCUCUUGAAUAUCAAAGGUGAGCCAGUACAGGAUGGACCCGCGUCUGAUUAGCUAGUUGGUAAGGUAACGGCUUACCAAGGCGACGAUCAGUAGCCGACCUGAGAGGGUGAUCGGCCACAUUGGAACUGAGACACGGUCCAA